GACGAACGCUGGCGGCGUGCUUAACACAUGCAAGUCGAACGGAUUGCUUGGUGCUUGCACUGAGUGGUUAGUGGCGAACGGGUGAGUAACACGUGAGUAACCUGCCCCCUUCUUUGGGAUAAGCACCUGAAAGGGUGUCUAAUACUGAUUAUUCUGCUGGAAUCGCAUGGUUUUGGUUGGAAAGGUUUUUCUGGUGGGGGAUGGGCUCGCGGCUUAUCAGCUUGUUGGUGGGGUAAUGGCUUACCAAGGCUUUGACGGGUAACCGGCCUGGGAGGGUAACCGGUAACAUUGGAACGGAGAUACGGCCCAGAGUCGUAAGGGAGGCAGCAGUGGGGAAUAUUGCACAAUGGACGAAAGUCUGAUGCAGCGACGCCGCGUGAGGGAUGAAGGUCUUCGGGUUGUAAACCUUUUUCGCUUUUGACCAAGGCAGCAUUUUGGUGUUGUUGAGGGUAUGAGGUAAAGAAGCUCCGGCUAACUACGUGCCAGCCGCCGCCGUAA
rnacentral:rRNA from 1 species